rnacentral:tRNA from 1 species
CGGGAUGUGGCGCAGUUGGUAGCGCACACGGCUGGGGGCCGUGAGGCCGCAAGUUCAAGUCUUGUCAUCCCGACCA